CUCCUGGUAGCUUAGUUGGUUUAAAGCACAAGACUGUAACUUUGUCCAGAUUUUGUAAUCUUGGGAUCGGGCGUUCGACUCGCCCCCGGGAGA
rnacentral:tRNA from 3 species